UGCCAGUCGGAAUUCCCUAUCCUUCCUGGCCAAGCGGACAUGCUGGGCAGAGUUCAGGACACAGCUUUAAGUGUGGUUUCCUGAUUAACAGGGAGACUCCAGUUAUGCAGGAAGGAGUUGGAGCUUGCAUACUAUAUGUCAUAGUCAUCUCCCGGUCCUUAGGAACGAACACAUCAACAGAAAUGACCUAGGGCAAACUACCAUUCCUGAGAAAAUCCCCGACAGCUCAAAGAGAGACUCUGGUCGCUGUGCUUCAUCUUCUGUGCUUUCUUUUGAUAAGAAAGUGACACACUUAAGACUCAGUUACUCUAAAACACAUUUAAACCAAAUGAUAUUUGAGAAGGCCGAUGGUGAUCAAGAGAAAUGAGCACUGAAAGGAACCAGACACAUCUUUGUGACAUCCUGGCUAAGAAAAAGGGUGAUGAGAAGAGAGCCCCAAAGCAGGCGUCAGGAGUUGGGGUAAUUGACUUGGUUCUGAGGCAGUUUUGCCUCAGGAUCUUAGGAGAAAUCAUUCUCAAGUCUUCUACUUCCUCACCUGCAAAAUAAGAUGGCUGGUCCCUCUAAAUUUUAAAAUUCUCUGAUUCUGUGCAUUACUUAAAGAAAAGGGCAAGGUAUCCCUAUGUGUCAAGAAGAACAGUGAGAAAUAAUACUGAAAGAACGCCUUGAAGGAAGAGUGGAAAGCCCCUCAGGGGUCUCGAGGCCUUGAUCAGAUGCUGAGGAAGGACCAGCUGGGGGAAGGGCGCUCGGGGAACGCCCCCAGGGGCUCCUUCUCAGAGGGAACUUCCAGCCCGAGCCCACGGAGAAGUGGGCCUGUCUUGCUGAGAGCAAGAAAGAGAAGGUAAGGAAGAGAACAGGAGGGAAAGGUGCUUAGAAAAGGAAAAGGCUUAAGAUAAGGGGGAUCCUGUGAGUAUCAAAAUGAAUGCGUACAACUCUGUAAGACUGACCACCUCUGUGGGGGUGGGGCGGGGGGGUGAAGAAGAAAAAACUGAGAAGAGGGCAAGGGCAGAAGAGCAAAGAAAGAAGGGGAAAGGAGAAUCCAGACCUCCAAAAUACAUUUUAAACAGAAAUAGAAUUUCUUAAUUCUCCCACCAUCCAUUCACCAAAAAAGUCACCAGAUGUGAGGUCCCAUGGCACCCUGCCAAAUUAAACAGAGAAAAGCCGCACUUUUAAAGAGAACAAUAGAGUAGCAUUUUCUAUACCAUAGUGAACACAGAGACAGUCCAUCUGUAUGCAGAUAUGGAAGGGAAAAAAAAAAAAACUCCACAAAGGGUCCAUAACCUUUUCCAAAAAAAGAUUCUGGGCUAAGCAAUCCAGAAAUAGAACAUUUUGAUUACAAAAUAAAAACUAGGUCAAUAAGAUAAUGGACAUGAUUUAAAUGAAAAUCACAGUAUUUGUAAUGGACUAAAAAUGGUAUCAAUAUUACUGCAGAGAAGGAAUAUAAUUAAAUGUAUUUUUAAACGGCAGCUCCCCACCCCGGCCCUGCAAACCCAGCCCGGCCACCAGUCUUCCUCCACCUCAUCGGAGAGGAAUGUGCUGGCAGGCCCGGAGCUGGUCUGAAGAAUGCAGAGUUUCCGUACUGCUUUAGAAGAUCCCAAAUGACACUGGUUAGCUACAUUCUUUCACUUGUAGAUCACUGUUAUUCAAUUAUAAAGCAAAGAAAUGGAAAGGUCUGGGAGCUGACCAGUUCAUUCUUUUACCAUUUUUACUCUACAGCCAGGAAACGUGCAAAUGAGGAACGAGGGCCACCAUUCUCUUUGGUCCAUCGAAACCAGGGGAAUUCUGGGCCACCACUUGAGGUGGGUAUAGGCCCGAAGAGGUUUAGCACAGGCUACAAAUUAAGAUACAGGGCAGAAGUGCAAAUUCCUGGUUUUCUGUCUACAACUUGGAGUGUGACCUUGUAGAGAGACUCUGACUCUUGGGUGUAAUUUAUCUUCUAAAGCCUCACAAGGAAAAGGGAGGCAAAGAGGAACAAGAUGAAUUAGACCUAAGAAAUCAUGUUCCGGAUGGUGAAUACAAUUACCACAGUGAGCAGGCAAAGAGUACUGUGGCAUUUCCUUGGGUGCCUAUAUAAGAGCCAGGUCUAGGAGUCUGUUUAUAAGGAAAUAUCAACAGCCCUUCCAAACUUGGGAUGCCUUCAGGGGUCAAAGAAAGAUUAAGCAGAAUUACUCUAUGAUAAUAUCACUGGUCUAGAACACACACACACACACACUCGCACACACACACACAUACAGUGUUCCUUAUUAAAGGAGAUUACAUCCAUAUUUACAUGAUGGAAAUCUCAGAAUAAGAUAUCAGCAUGACUAUAUAUGCAUCUUAACCAUUCAGAAGAGAUUAUUUUCAAAGUUUUAUGGAGGGUAGGAAAUAUUUACUAGCAAGGGUUUUUUCAGAUAAUUGACUCUUUAAUACGUAUGCUUAAAUUCCAACAUACCAGCCAUUACUUGCAAGGCAUUCAUUCAUCCUUAGAAACCAUAAGCUUACCUCCCAUGAAGAAAAUUGGUUAAAUAAUCGAGUUUGUCAAACAAAGGACAGGUCAUGUUAUGGUGUGAUUCGUGUAAUGCUGAGCUCUCAAAGUGCAACUGUGUUUGUAAAAUGUCGUUAUGUUAGUACCCACUUCACCCCUUUUUACUAUAAUAAAAGCAAUUUCAGUAUGCAGCAAGUUGACAGACACCAUAACCAUGAGACCUUUCUGUAAGUGACUCGGGGAGCUCCAAACCCCUGGUACUCAGAGGCAACUGAAAUAAGUCACUGUAAUAGGUCUUGAGGAAUUCUAAGCCAAGAGAAAGGCCAAAAAGUUACGGAUCAUCUGAGCUCAUCCGAUCACUCUCGGGGUUGUUCUUAUUUAUAGUUCCUUCCUAUCACCAGGGCCUCUAAACCUUGAAAUGAAAAUAGAGAAGCAAAAGUGUGGCAAGGGUCAAUGCGACCAGGGUAAAACUUCUGCAAACAUCCAGAAAGCAGGGUGCUCGGUUUUCUGCUGGAAAGCAUUCACUCAAUAUUGUUUUCAACUCUGACCUUCCACGACCUCGGUUUGGAGAUCCUGAUGGGGGUAAAAGAAAAGAACCGAAGGGUGAAGCAAGUGAAAAACACCGAAAGAAUGCUCAGCACAAGCAUAUGACCGGGGCACGCCUCUGUGCUGUGAGUCUGGUGGGGGGGAAAUGGAUUAUUUAUAGGAGAAGAGAAGCAAGAUGACAAAAUAAGCUCUUGACAGAGAAGAUAAAAGCUUAUGUUGGAAAAAGCUUGGGGGAAGGAAAUGGCAUCAGAGUCAUUUGCACUGUCACAAAAUGAAGUUGGUCUAGCAGUGACUUUGGCAUAUUUUGGCUUCUCAGCAGGGAGAAACCAGUUGGGGGCUGGGGAAACUGGUGUUUUGGGAGAAAGAGAAACAGCUGCUUGAACACGAGUGUCAUCGGAAGGAAGUCCUCUUCCCUGCUGCCAGCCCACAAGACAUUACUAUAACACAGUCUCAGGAGCUACUAUAAUGAGACAGGGGGGGACAAGACGGAGUUGCUGCCAGUUAAUGCCCCAAGAUCUUUUGACAAUGGCACUGUGCCAACAAAUGCAAGAAGGGAAUAAGCACCAGCCAACAGCAUGGGGAUCCUCCUCUAUAAAAAGGACUCAUGGAAGGAAUUCUAAUUGUAUUUAUUUAAGUAACUAUUAAUUACUUCUACAGGCUCAGGAACAGGAUGGACUGCUGAAUCAAUAAAUGACGGAAAGGUUAUCUAUGAAUAAUACGUAAAUCCUCUGUUCCAAGUCUUGUCUCUGAUAAAAUUUGGGAGUCUGAUUGAUGUAUUGACUUUCAAUUCCCUUCUCUCUGUCUAUUUGUCAGCUGAGCUUCAGGCUACACACUCUAUCAAUAAGGCAUCUCAAGUUCAAUGUCCCUACGCCAACACAAAUCAGACGCUGCACAAAAGAGCUGUUUUCCCAUCACCAGGCUGGAUGUCUUGAAGUAGCUGCCAACCUCCACUGCACUCCAACCCACAAGCAGUGAGCUGCCAAAUCCCACCAUGCUCUCCUGCACGGAAGUCUCCGUUUGUCCUUUCCUCUUUUCCCUCUAUUCAGUCUUGUGUCUGUCCUGCCCGUCUCAUGUCUGAAAUCCUCGAUCUCCUCCAGUUGUCCCCUAGCUUCCUCAUAUUGCCAAGUAUCUUCCCAGAGGGCUCACUAGGGCUUCUUUCUACACUCAAGUUCAGGUCCACACAUUGUCAGCCACCAUUCCCACCUCCUGCUUCUUAAGCCUUCAACUGCCUUCCACUAUCCCUAUGUUGUCCAAUAUGACAGCCACUAACCACAUGUGGCUAUUUCAACGUCAAUUAAUUGAAACUUAAUAAAACUACAAAUUCCGUUCCCUGGCAGCAUGAGCCACACUUCAAGCACUCAAUGGCCUUGUGUGAUUGGGGGUGCCCUACUGACGAGCUCAGCUCUAGAACGGUCCCAUCAUCACAGAAAGUUCUACUGGGUGGUGCUGGAACCUGUCCUCUCCGGAAAAAUGUACUCAGCUCCCACAAGCAAAUCUUCUGUUAGAAUAAAUUCCAUUCCCAAAAAGGCCUUCCAUCCCAAUUUUUACCAAGAUCUCACAGUUCAAUAUCAGGGAGCUCCUGAGACAUUCUUCCCUGAGAUCCACUCUCAUUUUAAGGGAAAGGCAAGUUACAUACUGUUCACCCUAACCCAAAUAAACAUGUCUUCCUUUCAUAAAACUUAUUCUCUGUGCAGAGUAAAUAUUUACACAUUAAUAUUCAAUUUAUAUCUUUUUCAAUGCUUGCUCAGCUGUGAGGCCUUUACUAUCUUGCUCAAUAAGGUAAACUAUUUUAGACUGAAUGCUCUUGGGGGCAGGGCCAAUAUUUAAUGAUGCCAAGCAUAGAAAGCUCUUUAGUGAGUAUGUUUUAAUAAGGGUGAUAGCAUAGUGGGAAAGCAUUAGGCUUUGAAAUUACCCUGCAUCUGAGAUCCUGUUCUGUUACUUUCUAACCAGAGACCUUCAGCAAGUUAUUUAAUCCCUCAUCAUUCUCAGUUUAAGCAUGUGUAAAACAGAGAAAAUGAGAACUGUCUUCCUCAUAGGGUGGCUGUGAUAAUUAAGUGAGAUCAGACCUGUAAAUCUCUUAGCAGUAAUUGAUACAUAAUAGCCACUCAUUAAUGUCAGCCGAUGAUGACAUAUAUUAUUUUAAAUAGUUGUAAACAACAUAAAUUUAAAUAAUACUUGAUCGAGGAGGUUGCAGGCAGGAUGAAAAAGAAAUCCAGAAUGCAACUGCUGGCCUUACAGAGUCAAAUGAAUGUCUUUAGAUAUGAUGUGAUGGAUAUUACUGAAAUAUCAAACCGUGGAAAAUAUGUAUCAGAAUAACAUAAAUUUUAACAUUUCCAUUCUGCUUCUCCUAUAAAAGCUGCAUAGAGUUUCCAGUUCUCUGGAAAAUUCACUUCAGGGAUGGUGGAACCUUGUUUGGCAAGGUGAACAACUUUCCAUUAGUUGAAUGCAAGAAGGAUGAUUUCAUUUAAAAGUGAAAUGUGGGAAAUGGUUAAAUGAGUAGGACCUAACUGAUCAUACUAGUUGUUUUUGAAAAAUUGGAAAACCAAGAGUUCAAAGCACAUGUGGGCAUUAAUUUGCACUGAGUGCUUCAAGGUCCAUCACCCCAGUGAACAAAUAAGGCGGGGCACACACACCCCACACACUCAGAGCAUGAGCCCCUCUCCCAGCCUUCAGUAACUGGAAUUCAGAGGUAGCUCUGUGUACUCAGUAACCACAUUAUGCCAAACCAGUCAUCCAGUCUUCCCUUGCUGUGGCUUCUGAAGCUGCUAGGCCAGUGAUUUUUAAAGUGUGCCCCUUGGACCAAGCAAGAGAAACAGUGUCACCUGGGAACUUGCCAAUUCGUGGGUCCCACCCUGGACCUACUGCAUCAGAAACUCUAGGGUUGGGGCCCACCUGCGUGUGCCUAAGCUCUCCAGAUGUCCAUAGAGCCAGAGUCUGGGUAGUACACCUGGGCUGCACCUGGGCCCUCUAUUCCAGGCAGCUCCGGCAGAGAAGACAUUAGGCCUCCUCUUGGACAGGUAGUGUAGAAAAUAUCGUUCACUGGCUCUCACCUCUGUGGACACGUGAUAUGGAUUCUGCCUCCUUCACUAGGACUUGGUUCCCUGAUGUGAAAAGUGAUGAAUCAUUAACAAUUUGCUAAGCAGAGCCCAGGAAGAGGGGACCCCUGUGGCUCUAAGUCACCAACAAGCUGGGUCAUGUGGAGCAAGCUCACCCUGGAACCACACAUUCUGUCCAUCACGUAGCAUGGAGUCAAGAUCAGACAGCCCCAAAUCAUGCAGCUCCAUGGACUGGGCCUUUAACGGGAGUCACUGGUCCACAAUGAGAGGUGGAGCAGUGAUGCAAAGGACAGGGUCCUGCAGCUAAUUUAGGAAAGCCCCUAACACUUCUUGUUUAACUGCAUUUUGGAAAACAAAAGAAUUACAAAAUCAUAUAACAAAACCCCAGCAACUACAUGAAAAACAAACAAAAGAAGGAAAGAUACAGGAAACCCUCUCCAGAGGUUUUUCAAAGCAUAACACUUCUCAACAGUCAAAACUCAUUUACAAGGAAAUGGGGAAGUAUUCUGGAUCUCAAAACUUGAAUCACCAUGUGAAAGUAUUUUUGAGCAACAAUGCCUUAAAUGACUUUCAUUGUCAUUUUUAAAAGAUCUAAAACAAACAAACAAAAAAACCCAAAAGCUUCUUUUAGUGCUUUGAUGCUUGCAUAAUGUUGACAGUUAUAUUUUCACGAUUCAAAUACAUUCUCCAACAGAUCACCUUACUCAUUUUUCAGUGGCAGGGAAUAAAACUCACUAUGCAUGAAUUUAAAGUCCUGUACAUUUUUAAAAACAGGUUUUGUUUGAACAUUUUUAUAAGAUGUAUAUAGCCAUGUACUGUUUUUGUCAUUAAAAUCAUUUUUAAAAACUAGCAGUCUUUUAUAAGCUUACACACAAGAUGUUAUGUACAGCCAACUUCUGAAAAGAGAAAACUUAAAGGUAGUUAUGUCUGGGCAGUGCGACUAGGGGACAGACAGAGAAAUAAGACUUUUACUUUUUCACUUUAAAUCCUUGAGUCCUACUCAGAUUUACUUUUGUACAUAUUUUGUAUAAUUCUUUUAACUGUACUAGUUAGAAAUAAAAUAAGUUAACUUAAAAAUAAUAAGUGCAUAUUAUUGGACCAUUAACCUUUGGCAUCCAUUUCACUGAAUGACACUGAGUAAGUUAGUCAGCAGUUUCGGCCAACUUUCCCUACAGUCUGAGCGUGCCGUCACCAGAUGACACCGCAGACCAAGACACUGAGCCCAGGGAGGUGAAAGACGCUGCCCAUGUCAUCAGACUUGCUGACACUGGAGGCAAAGCUCACCGUCAGUUCUUGAGCUCCCUGGUUUAUGCAUUU